rnacentral:lncRNA from 1 species
GAUCCUCCCCAGCCUCCCCCUGAGGGUCCCCGCCCAGCCCAGGGGCCCAGCGCCGCGGAUGGCACCGGAUAGCGCAAGCGACCCCCACACGACUCACCCUCUAUCCUCGCCACGCUCUCUGGGAGGCCAAGACAAGGGCUGCUCAACGGCUGUGUGGCUUCUUAAAUAGCGCACUUGCUCUCGCGAGAUCUGGCUGGCCUGAUGGGAAGAAGGAAGCAGAGGGGGCUGUCCGCGAGCGCCAUCUUGGGAGAGGCACUGAGGGUCCCUGCCCCUCUCUCCCCAGCGUUGUAAGGGUGGUGGCAGCAGCAGAGGCACGGGAGACUGGUGCGCUUGCGCAGACGGAGCCCAGCUGCGGGCCAGCAGAGCCGCUCCCCAGCGGUACUCUAAUCAGUAAGUCUCAGUGCCUGGUGUACUCUGAUCUCUUCAGCAGAGAAUUUAUAAAUCAGUUGUCCAGUUUGCUGAAAGAAAUAGAAAAUGGCCAAAGUUGAAAAGCUUGCUCUUCAUGUCCCAAGUCUAGAGGAACUUUCUGGGGUGGAGAUCCUUUCAGAGCCUCGUUACUGACCCACUCACCUAGCAGGAGCUAAAACCUCACAUAAUGCUGCUAAGUAAAUUUUGCUGACUCAUUAUGGCAAAUGGCUUUAACUCCACCCGGCUAGAAGACAGGUGGGUAUGUGUGAUGCUGCACUCCAUAUGUUUAUGGUAAUAUACUUAUGAGUGUAAAUAUGAUGUAACUGGAAUAUGCUUUAUGCAAAAGGUCUCUUGUAAGGUAUAAUUACAAAGCUUAUAAUCUACUGAGUAUAUUCAUCCUAUUUGUAUGAAUGUAUCAUUCUUGUAUCUGAAGCUAGAAAUUUGAAGUGUUACUCUGAACUCCUAUUGUAACUAUGCAAAGUUUGGGCCAUUAAUGAUAGUUUGGAAUCUUGAUGGCUCCCAUCAACUAGGACAAUUGGUUGUAAAUGGCUCUGUUUACUUGCAAGCCUUCCUGUGAGUCAGGCCAGG